rnacentral:rRNA from 1 species
UACGUAGGGGGCAAGCGUUGUCCGGAUUUACUGGGCGUAAAGAGCGUGUAGGCGGCCAAACAGGUCCGUUGUGAAAACUGGAGGCUUAACCUCCAGACGUCGACGGAAACCGUAUGGCUAGAGUCCGGAAGAGGAGAGUGGAAUUCCUGGUGUAGCGGUGAAAUGCGCAGAUAUCAGGAAGAACACCUAUUGCGAAGGCAGCUCGCUGGGACGUAACUGACGCUGAGACGCGAAAGCGUGGGGAGCAAACAGG